rnacentral:rRNA from 1 species
AGAUGAAUUUGGUGCUUGCACCAAAUGAAACUAGAUACAAGCGAGCGGCGGACGGGUGAGUAACACGUGGGUAACCUGCCCAAGAGACUGGGAUAACACCUGGAAACAGAUGCUAAUACCGGAUAACAACACUAGACGCAUGUCUAGAGUUUAAAAGAUGGUUCUGCUAUCACUCUUGGAUGGACCUGCGGUGCAUUAGCUAGUUGGUAAGGUAACGGCUUACCAAGGCAAUGAUGCAUAGCCGAGUUGAGAGACUGAUCGGCCACAUUGGGACUGAGACACGGCCCAAACUCCUACGGGAGGCAGCAGUAGGGAAUCUUCCACAAUGGACGCAAGUCUGAUGGAGCAACGCCGCGUGAGUGAAGAAGGGUUUCGGCUCGUAAAGCUCUGUUGGUAGUGAAGAAAGAUAGAGGUAGUAACUGGCCUUUAUUUGACGGUAAUUACUUAGAAAGUCACGGCUAACUACGUGCCAGCAGCCGCGGUAAUACGUAGGUGGCAAGCGUUGUCCGGAUUUAUUGGGCGUAAAGCGAGUGCAGGCGGUUCAAUAAGUCUGAUGUGAAAGCCUUCGGCUCAACCGGAGAAUUGCAUCAGAAACUGUUGAACUUGAGUGCAGAAGAGGAGAGUGGAACUCCAUGUGUAGCGGUGGAAUGCGUAGAUAUAUGGAAGA